GACGAACGCUGGCGGCGUGCUUAACACAUGCAAGUCGAACGGAAAGGCCCUGCUUGCAGGGUACUCGAGUGGCGAACGGGUGAGUAACACGUGGGUGAUCUGCCCUGCACUUCGGGAUAAGCCUGGGAAACUGGGUCUAAUACCGGAUAGGAGCCAUUUUUAGUGUGAUGGUUGGAAAGUUUUUUCGGUGUAGGAUGAGCUCGCGGCCUAUCAGCUUGUUGGUGGGGUAAUGGCCUACCAAGGCGGCGACGGGUAGCCGGCUGAGAGGGUGGACGGCCACAUUGGGACUGAGUUACGGCCCAGACUCCUACGGGAGGCAGCAGUGGGGAAUAUUGCACAAUGGGCGCAAGCCUGAUGCAGCGACGCCGCGUGGGGGAUGACGGCCUUCGGGUUGUAAACUCCUUUCGCUAGGGACGAAGCUUUUUGUGACGGUACCUAGAUAAGAAGCACCGGCUAACUACGUG
rnacentral:rRNA from 1 species